AAAGUUUGCCAGACAAUCGCCGGCGGACCGACCGGUCGAAGGCCGGUCCGCGGGAGGAAAGUCCGGGCUCCGCAGGGCAGGGUGCUGGAUAACGUCCAGUCAGCGCGAGCUGAAGGAUAGUGCCACAGAAACGGACCGCCGAUGGCGGCGCGGGCUUCGGCCUUUUCGCCGCACAGGCAAGGGUGGAACCGUGGUGUAAGAGACCACGAGGAAGCCUGGCGACUCGCUUCCUGGUAAACCCCACCCGGAGCAAGACCGAACAGGACGCCGCGGCGUCUACGCCGCAAACCCUGGCCCGGGGUGCGUCCGGGUUGGUCGCUUGACCCCGCCGGCAACGGCGGGGCUAGAUAGAUGAUUGUCGCUUCCGGCGUCGGCCGGGAGGCGCCGGAAGAACAGAACCCGGCUUACGGCAAACUUUCCGC
rnacentral:RNase_P_RNA from 1 species